rnacentral:rRNA from 1 species
GACAGAGGCCUCGAGCGUUAGGCGGAAUCACUGGGCUUAAAGCGUGUGUAGGCGGACGCCUAAGUACCUUGUGAAAUCCCACGGCUCACCCGUGGAACCGCUGGGUAUACUGGGCGUCUUGGGCCAUUCAGGGGCAACUGGAACAAGCGGUGGAGCGGUGAAAUGCGUAGAUAUCGGCUUGGAACGCCGACGGUGAAAACAGGUUGCUGGGAAUGUGCCGACGCU